UUAGAGUUUGAUCCUGGCUCAGGAUGAACGCUAGCGGCAGGCUUAACACAUGCAAGUCGAGGGGCAGCGAGAUCAGUGCUUGCACUGAUUGUCGGCGACCGGCGCACGGGUGCGUAACGCGUAUGCAACCUACCCAUUACAGGGGGAUAACACUGAGAAAUCGGUACUAAUACCCCAUAACAUCCAGGGAGGCAUCUUCUUGGGUUGAAAACUCCGGUGGUAAUGGAUGGGCAUGCGUUGUAUUAGUUAGUUGGUGGGGUAACGGCUCACCAAGACAACGAUACAUAGGGGGACUGAGAGGUUAACCCCCCACAUUGGUACUGAGACACGGACCAAACUCCUACGGGAGGCAGCAGUGAGGAAUAUUGGUCAAUGGACGCAAGUCUGAACCAGCCAUGCCGCGUGCAGGAAGACGGCUCUAUGAGUUGUAAACUGCUUUUGUACGAGGGUAAACGCAGAUACGCGUAUCUGUCUGAAAGUAUCGUACGAAUAAGGAUCGGCUAACUCCGUGCCAGCAGCCGCGGUAAUACGGAGGAUUCAAGCGUUAUCCGGAUUUAUUGGGUUUAAAGGGUGCGUAGGCGGUCGGAUAAGUUAGAGGUGAAAUCCCGGGGCUCAACUUCGGAAUUGCCUCUGAUACUGUUCGGCUAGAGAGUAGUUGCGGUAGGCGGAAUGUAUGGUGUAGCGGUGAAAUGCUUAGAGAUCAUACAGAACACCGAUUGCGAAGGCAGCUUACCAAGCUACUUCUGACGUUGAGGCACGAAAGCGUGGGGAGCAAACAGGAUUAGAUACCCUGGUAGUCCACGCAGUAAACGAUGAUAACUCGUUGUCGGCGAUACAGUGUCGGUGACUAAGCGAAAGCGAUAAGUUAUCCACCUGGGGAGUACGUUCGCAAGAAUGAAACUCAAAGGAAUUGACGGGGGCCCGCACAAGCGGAGGAACAUGUGGUUUAAUUCGAUGAUACGCGAGGAACCUUACCCGGGCUUGAAAGUUAGUGACGGAUCUUGAAAGAGGUCUUCCCUUCGGGGCACGAAACUAGGUGCUGCAUGGUUGUCGUCAGCUCGUGCCGUGAGGUGUCGGGUUAAGUCCCAUAACGAGCGCAACCCCUACCGUUAGUUGCCAGCAGGUCAAGCUGGGCACUCUGACGGGACUGCCGGUGUAAGCCGAGAGGAAGGUGGGGAUGACGUCAAAUCAGCACGGCCCUUACGUCCGGGGCUGCACACGUGUUACAAUGGCAGGUACAGAGGGCAGCUACCCAGCGAUGGGAUGCGAAUCUCGAAAGCCUGUCUCAGUUCGGAUUGGAGGCUGAAACCCGCCUCCAUGAAGUUGGAUUCGCUAGUAAUCGCGCAUCAGCCAUGGCGCGGUGAAUACGUUCCCGGGCCUUGCACUCAACGCCCGUCA
rnacentral:rRNA from 1 species